AUGGCUUGGCAACUUAUAGCUCUUCUCCCGGUUGCUUUGGUGGCCGCUGCCGCCGUCGCCGCCGCAGGGGCGGGGCUGCCGUCCAACUUCGCCAUGAUAACCCCACGGGGACCAAUACUGGGGAAGCGGGAUGCGGGGGAGUACUGCGGCAAGAGGAAGUGCAUGGCCAAGUGCGAGAGCCGCUGCCCCGAUCAGUGCUUCGUCCUCUGCCCCAGCUGCAAGACUCUUUGCAUGUGCGACUACUACCCGGGCAUCUCCUGCGGUGACCCGCGCUUCACCGGUGGCGACGGCAACAACUUCUACUUCCACGGCAAGAAGGACCAGGACUUCUGUGUCGUCUCCGAUGCUGAUCUCCAUGUCAAUGCUCAUUUCAUUGGCACGCACAACCCCGCCACUGAUCGUAACUUCACCUGGAUCCAGGCCAUCGGCAUGCGCUUCGUGGACCACCGCCUCUUCGUCGGUGCCAAGAAGACCGUGAAAUGGAACAACCGUGUCGACCAUCUGGAGAUGGCCUUGGACGACGAGACCAUCGAUCUCCCUGCCAAGCUCGACGCGCGUUGGGAGUCGGCAGCCGUGGCAGGCCUGACCAUCACGAGAACCGCCACGACCAAUGGCAUCAGAGUGCAGCUCAAGGGGGUGUUUGACAUCAUGGCCAGCGUGGUGCCCGUCACGGAGAAGGACUCCCGCAUCCACAACUACGGUGUCACGGAGGAAGACUGCCUGGCUCACUUGGACAUUGGGUUCAAGUUUCACGACCUCACCGACGAUGUGCACGGUGUCCUUGGUCAAACGUACCGCUCCGACUAUAUUAACAAGCUCAGGGUGAGCGCCAGCAUGCCGGUGAUGGGCGGCAUAACCAGCUAUGUAUCAUCGGAUAUCUUUGCCACUGAUUGCGCAGUUGCUAGAUUUGGUCGCCGUACUAGCAUCUCAAUGGUUGCAUCAAGUGAUAGUUGA
rnacentral:rRNA from 1 species